rnacentral:lncRNA from 1 species
UCAAGAUCAAUUUACAGCAUAAAAGGAGGCCUAGACUUCAUAAGCCUUUGUAGUAUGAAUCUCAUCUUUUUAAAAGAAGAUGACAUUAAGAAGUGCUAACUACCAAACCAAAGUCUAUCAUUUAAGUAAAGAGCAAUCAUUACUUAUGACAAAGCUGAGUGUGUUGAAGUAUGCCCUGGAAGCAAGAAUCACUUUAGAUAAUGACUCUUCUUGCUUUUUAGAGAACUCAUGAGACUCGCCAUGCACACUGUGGUGAUAUGUCAUUAAAACCUCCCACGAAUGUCACAUUCCCUGCUCCUGGCCACAGAAGUCUUGGACCACCUGCAGCUCUCAAGUUCAGUUCUUCAGCCAGAACUAGAAUGGACACUCCAGAACCUUCCGUCUUCUCUUUCUGCUUUUACUUAUUCUGCCUCUCAUUAAAAGAAGAAAAAAGAAAAACCGAGCUCCUCACUGUCUCUCAAUUUAUAACAGUAAGUAUUUGCAUGUACAGAAAUCAAGGAAAUUGCAAAAGGAAUACGUCAAGUCUGUAUAUUGUCACCCUGCUUAUUUAACUUAUAUGCAGAGUACAUCAUGCAAAAUGCCAGCUGGAUGAAGCACAAGCUGGAAUCAAGAUUACCACGAGAAAUAUCAAUAACUUUAGAUAUGCAGAUGACACCACCCUAAUGGUAGAAAGUGAAGAGGAACUAAAGAGUGUCUUGAUGAAGGUGAAAGAGGAGAGUGAAAAAGCUGGCUUAAACCUGAAUUUUAAAAAAACUAAGAUAAUGGCAUCUGGUCCCAUCACUUCAUGGCAAAUAGAUGGGGUCAGUGACAGACUUUAUUUCCCUGGGUUACAAAAUUACUGCAGAUGGUGAUUGCAGCCAUGAAAUUAAAAGAUGCUUGCUCCUUAGAAGAAAAGCUAUAACCAACCUAGACAGCAUAUUAAAAAGCAGAGACAUUACUUUGCCAACAAAGGUCCAUCUAGUCAAAGCUAUGGUUUUUCCAGUAGUCAUUUAUGGAUGUGAGAGUUGGACCAUAAAGAAGGCUGAGCACUGAUGCUUUUGAACUGUGGUGUUGGAAAAGACUCUUGAGAGUCCCUUGGACUUCAGGGAGAUCAAACCAGACAAUCCUAAAGAAAAUUAACCCUGCAUAUUCCUUGGAAGAACUGAUGCUGAAGCUGAAGCUCCAAUACUGAUGUGAUGAGCUGACUCAUUAGAAAAGACCUUGAUGCUGGGAAAGAUUGAAGGCAGGAGAAGAAGGGGACAACAGAGGCUGAGAUGGUUGGAUGGCAUCACUGAUUCGGUGGAUAUGGGUCUGAGCAAGCUCCAGGAGAUAGUGAAGGACAAGGAAGCCUAGCAUGCUGCAGUCCAUGGGGGUCCCAAAGAGUCAGACAUGACUGAGUGACUGAACAACAAAAUCAAGGAAAACAGGUAGUGGAAUGUGUUUAGGGAUUGGGAAUGUGUGACGGACAGAAUAUUGCCCCCCUUAAAAUGUGACUGCUGGAAUCUGUGAAUCUGCUACUUUACAUCUCCCCAUCUUGAGAUGGGGAGAUUAUCCUGGUUGGCCCAGUGUAAU